AGCAGGUCCGGCUGUGGAUCUUGCCCAGCGCUGGGCUCAGGGCCUGGCAUGACCAGGGCUGGAAAAGCAGAAUAACUCGCACACGGAGGAAAGCCGCGCUUAUUCUUUGUGAGUCCGGGAGUUCCAGUAUCUGCACCUUUGCUGCUGGGUUCUGAGGUCUGGGCUGGAUUUAUGCAGCUUCUUACCAAACUACAGCUGGAUCUCCACUCCUGGCGGGAAAGAGAUUGCCAGCCACAGAGGGACCGGCCUGCAGCCCUGAAGGACAUCCCUUUUUCUUUAAGAAUGCUGAAGAAGAAGUUAUUUUCAGGACUUCAGGACGGUCACCACUGGAUGCCAGCCUCCACGCUGUGAGGAAGCCCAGGUCUCGCAGCAAGGUCGCAUGUCAGCAUUUUAGCCAUCGCCCCAGACGAGGUGUCCACUCAUAGCCAACAUCAAGCUCGGAACAGAAUAUCAAUAAGUUCCAAUUGAAGAGCGGAUUCUUUUGCAAUUCAGGCAUGUGCCGGCGAUAACGGGCGAGUUGGCAUGAGGAGAGGCAGAGAUGGAUUAAUUAUGCAGAGAACAUGGAAAUUCUGCUUAUCAUCGGCUAGCAAAGGAGCCCGGCUCACAUAAUCAGCAAACGAAGGGAGAGGAAAAAAUAACAAUGCAGUGGCACCUUCCAGCCCAUCAUCAGGAUUUUUCCGACCCCCCUUGUAAUUAAAAAAUAACAUACACUUAUAGCCCUAUCUCCCACGCAGGCAAGGAGUGGAUGUCCACAAAAUAACUGCGCUGGGAUAUUAGAGCGGGCACCCCGGCCGUCCACUCCUGCCUGCUCUCCCCUCGCCCUCACCUUCUCCUGUGGCCUCUCGAGGCACUUGGCUUCAGAAGCAAGUCCAAGUCAGGCGAGGUCUCAGGUGACACUCGGGCUCCGUUUCCAAAAACCCCAGAUCGCCCCUUAUCACAAUCCGAGCAAACAUACGUACACAUAUCAUAAAUAUUUGAAGCACGGGCCCAGGAGGAGGCUUUGGAACUGAUCACCUGUGGACUGUGGUCAGUUUCGCCUGAAAUGAGCCCAGGCCGAAGGCCUUCCUUCUGCAAACUGACCGGGUUACAAUGGUGGCCCUGCACCUGCUGUGCUGUCUUCUCACCUGAUUUCCCUUCUUCACAACUUCUUAUUUCUAUUUCCUUCGCCUUCUCCUUUUAUACAUUCGGCAUCUACAGUUAGGGAUUGCGAUGUUCAGCCUCCAAAUCGGAAUCAAAAAUUCUGUGUUGCCUCUGUAAAGUAUGACAGCUCAAAGCUUUGUGUUUCAGCCCAAAGACGCUGCAAUAAAACUAGUUCACUGCAAUAAUGAAAAUCAAAUUUAAUCUUACAGUUGUAUCCCUGUGUUUCUCAAUUCUGAAAAUUAGAGUGUAAACAGACAUGCAAA